rnacentral:rRNA from 1 species
UACGGAGGGGGCUAGCGUUGUUCGGAAUUACUGGGCGUAAAGCGCGCGUAGGCGGACCUGCAAGUCGGGGGUGAAAUCCCUCGGCUUAACCGGGGAACUGCGUCUGAUACUGGAUGGCUUGAGUUUGGGAGAGGGACGCGGAAUUCCAGGUGUAGCGGUGAAAUGCGUAGAUAUCGGAAGGAACAUCAGUGGCGAAAGCGGCUUCCUGGACCAGUACCGACGUUCAGGCACGAAAGCGUGGGGAGCAAACAGG